rnacentral:rRNA from 1 species
CCUACGGGAGGCAGCAGUGAGGAAUAUUGGUCAAUGGGCGAGAGCCUGAACCAGCCAAGUCGCGUGUAGGAUGAAGGAUCUAUGGUUUGUAAACUUCUUUUAUAUGGGAAUAAAGUGAGGAACGUGUUACUUUUCGUAUGUACCAUAUGAAUAAGCAUCGGCUAAGUCCGUGCCAGCCGCCGCGGUAAUACGGAGGGUGCGAGCGUUACACGGAUUGAUUGGGUUUAAAGGGUACGUAGGUGGUUAAUUAAGUCAGCGGUGAAAGUUUGUGGCUCAACCAUAAAAUUGCCGUUGAAACUGGUUGGCUUGAGUAUAUUUGAGGUAGGCAGAAUGCGUGGUGUAGCGGUGAAAUGCGUAGAUAUCACGCGGAACUCCGAUGGCGAAGGCAGCUUACUAAACUAUAACUGACGCUGAGGCGCGAAAGCGUGGGGAUCAAACAGGAUUAGAUACCCGAGUAGUC